GCCGGUGUAGCUCAGUGGCAGAGCAGCUGAUUCGUAAUCAGCAGGUCGUGGGUUCGAGUCCCACCGCCGGCUCCA
rnacentral:tRNA from 1 species